rnacentral:rRNA from 1 species
GAUGAACGCUGGCGGCGUGCUUAACACAUGCAAGUCGAACGAAGCAUUUGCGACAGAUUUUUUCGGAAUGAGGUUGCUUAUGACUGAGUGGCGGACGGGUGAGUAACGCGUGGGUAACCUGCCUUGUACUGGGGGAUAGCAGCUGGAAACGGCUGGUAAUACCGCAUAAGCGCACAAUGUUGCAUGACAUGGUGUGAAAAACUCCGGUGGUAUAAGAUGGACCCGCGUCUGAUUAGCUAGUUGGUGAGAUAACAGCCCACCAAGGCGACGAUCAGUAGCCGACCUGAGAGGGUGACCGGCCACAUUGGGACUGAGACACGGCCCAGACUCCUACGGGAAGCAGCAGUGGGGAAUAUUGCACAAUGGAGGAAACUCUGAUGCAGCGACGCCGCGUGAGUGAAGAAGUAAUUCGUUAUGUAAAGCUCUAUCAGCAGGGAAGAUAGUGACGGUACCUGACUAAGAAGCUCCGGCUAAAUACGUG